UUAGUGAUCCGGUGGUUCUGAAUGGAAGGGCCAUCGCUCAACGGAUAAAAGGUACUCCGGGGAUAACAGGCUGAUACCGCCCAAGAGUUCAUAUCGACGGCGGUGUUUGGCACCUCGAUGUCGGCUCAUCACAUCCUGGGGCUGAAGUAGGUCCCAAGGGUACGGCUGUUCGCCGUUUAAAGUGGUACGCGAGCUGGGUUUAGAACGUCGUGAGACAGUUCGGUCCCUAUCUGCCGUGGGCGUUGGAAGAUUGAAAGGGGCUGCUCCUAGUACGAGAGGACCGGAGUGGACGCACCACUGGUGUUCGGGUUGUCAUGCCAAUGGCAUUGCCCGGUAGCUAAGUGCGGAAGAGAUAACCGCUGAAAGCAUCUAAGCGGGAAACUUGCC
rnacentral:rRNA from 1 species